rnacentral:lncRNA from 1 species
AUGGCCUGCCAAGCUGCCUCUCAGUCCAGCCUGUCCUGUGGUGCUGAGGCACAGAGCGAUGAGAAUCUGCGGGACAACUGCUGCUGCUUAAGGAGGGGAUUCCACAGGCAGCAGACCGCAGGCUUCCUGUUUAUGUCCAAGGACAGAAAUGAAGUUUUCAGUGUCAGCCCACAGAAUAAACCCUCGGUCACGCUGCGUGAGCCCAGCAGAAGGGGUCAUUCUGGGCUUUCCUCUGCCUGGCAUCCUGCUCCCCUCCUUCCCACAGGGACAGGGCAGGGGGCUGUGAGGCUGAGGGUCGCCUCGCAGAGGUCUGCCUGCCAGAGCAGCUGGCUCCUCGCAUGCCCCGCGGUUGCAGGGCUGAGUCUGGAGCAGGCUGAGCACAACUCGCUUGUCUUGCGAGCUCUAGUCCCUCCAAAACCUGGGAAGAAUGCAUCAUGCAAAGCGUGUUCUCUUUCCCACUGUUGGAGGAAAGCCCUACCUGACCAGCAAGGUCUGUAACAGUUAAACAGGCUGGCCCCAGGGGGGACAGGAGACAGCAAGCCCUGCUAAUCGCCUUGCUGGGAUGUUUUUUCCCCUGAUACUAUUUUUUGUCUCCAGAUCAGGCCAGAACCAAGAUUAAUAGAGUGAUACGUCCUAAAACGGAUAUUGCUUAUUCCUGUGAAAAGCUCAUUUUUCCAAGUCUAUGCACUCGUACUUGCUGUCUGCACUGGUUAGCCUUGUGAAGAUUUUGCAGGAAGCUUCAGGCUGAAGUUCUUUCUAUUUGAAUAUGAAAAAGGUUCUCAGAGUUCCUGAGCAGCCGCCUGACGACCUCCAGUAGCAGUGAUGGGAAGCGCAGCACCGAUGGGUGCCCACUGCUCACUGACAGUGCGCGUACCGAGCUCACGGUCACAGUGCUUGUGCCCCUCCUGGGCACAGCCAGCUUUGUACGGGAGGGACUCAUGGAAACGCAGCAAAUUGCCCAGACUGACCCAAUUAACCAGCAGCUGAGGCAGAACAAGGGCCAUGGGAGAGGCUGCCGCAGUCCUCCCGGCAUAGGCUGGGUCUUGUGGGCGCUGGGGCUGCAGAGGUGAAGCUGUGGGAGGCGAUUCUGGGCCUGGGGUGGCUGGCGGAGAGCUGCGCUGGAAGCCCUUAGCUUCAAAAAGGUAGAGCUGCUUAAACAGCGCCGUGUCACCCCACGUAAACUCGUGUUACUUCUAACUUCAAGUCCUUGGAACAUGAUCAGAAUCUACUACUGAAUAUUACAUCUGGAGUCUAAUUGUAUUGGCACGAUGAUUUCAAGUACUUUGGAGACAUACAACUUGUGAAUUAAGGCCACUACGUAUUUUCUGACUGAAUUACAGGGUGUUUCAAGGAUAUAUGUGAAAAUGUUUAUUUUUCUCUCGUACUGUGAUUUCUAUAUUGUUAAAUUCAACUUUUGUGUAAAUAUUAGUGAAAAUUGACUUUGCAAUACAUGCAGAGACAGUGUUACUUGGUAUUUCAGCUUCUCAGGUUAUGUAACUGCUUUAAUUAAAUAGUAGUAAAAAGAUCCCCUUAUUUGUAUGUAAUUUUAAUGAAUAAGAAGGUUUGGGUUUUUAAUCAAGCACAGGUUUGUUUGCACGUACAUUUGGUGUUAGGCAUGGCUUUUGAAGUUGUAACUAUUUUUAGUGACAGCAGAGCUGCAGCCGCAGAGUUACUGGCACUGUACCUAGCAACCUUCGUUGGAACAGGCACCAAUAAAAUUCUGAAACACUUUUCCUGCCUUUGUGUUAUUGCGGUUAAUUCACAUUUCUAGGUGAUUCUUCAGAGAGCGAUACGUGGUUAAAAAUAGGUAACAAAGGGCUUACAAAAUGCGUGCGUUUCAAGACCCCGUGAGGAAGCGGCCCGGCCAGGCGAGGAGGCCUCGGGCAGGCCGCGUGGUGCUGAGCUCCAUGGGCGCCCUCCCUUGCGGCAGGACAGGGGCACCGAGCACGGCUCUGCCCGAGACCUGCGGCUGCUUCCCACCUGCACCAGGCCCUGCCAUCAUUUCCAGUCUGGCCAGGGAGAAACCAGUUCCAGCUCCCUGUCCCUGCCCUCCUGUUCCCGGCUCUCCCUGCCCGCUCCCUCUCGGCCUCGGGUAUUUGUUGCUCCGGGACUGUCCGUGGCUGCAGCCUUCCCUGGCAGGCGGUAGCACAUCACCUACCCCACACAGAUAAAGAGCUGCAUCUGUCUUUGCAGAGACUUUUCUUUCUCUUUGGCACUGGCUGCAGCGUGCUGAUUUUGUUGCAGGAAAGAAGGAGGGACUGCUCCUUUCCAAAUGGCUUAACGUUUCAAAAAAUGAUUAAAAUGUUUAACCUCCUUUUUUUUAACCGUACCUAGUUUGAUAGUACAGGGUCAGAGGUGGGGACCGCAGGUGCCAGCCCUGCAGGGAGCAGGGGCACUGCACCCGCUGCUGGAGCCGUGCUGCAGGGAUGGGGAUCCACGGCUUCCGUGGGGUGCUGAUGGUAGACCACCCUCACUGUAAAAAAAAAAACAUUUUCUGCCUGUGUCUGUGCCGUACCAGGAUCCCAGCGCUCAGGGUGCCUGGGGGACCCCCCGCUGGGACCCCCAUCCGACCCCGGUCCUGCCCCAUGCUCCC